CCCCUAGUAACUGCGAGUGAAGCGGGAAAAGCUCAAAUUUGAAAUCUGACGGUUACGCCGUCCGAGUUGUAUUCUGGAGAAGCGUCUUCCGCGUCGGACCGUGUACAAGUCCCUUGGAACAGGGCGUCAUAGAGGGUGAGAAUCCCGUCUUUGACACGGACCCCCGGUGCUAUGUGAUGCGCUCUCGAAGAGUCGAGUUGUUUGGGAAUGCAGCUCAAAACGGGUGGUAAAUUCCAUCUAAAGCUAAAUAUUGGCGAGAGACCGAUAGCGAACAAGUACCGUGAGGGAAAGAUGAAAAGCACUUUGGAAAGAGAGUAAAACAGUACGUGAAAUUGUUGAAAGGGAAACGCUUGAAGUCAGUCGCGUCUGCCGGAACUCAGCCUUGCUUCUGCUUGGUGCACUUUCCGGUUUGACGGGCCAGCAUCGGUUUCGAGUGGCGGACACUGGCGCGGGGAAGGUGGCAGCUCCGGCUGUGUUAUAGCCCCGCGUCGCGAACGUCUCACGGGACCGAGGAAUCCGGCGCAAGCCUGGGAUGCUGGCGUAAUGGCUUUAAACGACCCGUCUUGAAACACGGACCAAGGAGUGCUACGUGCUCGCGAGUGUUUGGGUGGAAAACCCGGACGCGAAAUGAAAGUGAAAGUCGACACCCCUUUGCGGGGGGCACCGACGCCCGAGCCUGAAGUUUACGGAAGGCCUUGCGGUAGAGCGAGUGCGUUGCGACCCGAAAGAUGGUGAACUAUUCCUGAGGAGGGCGAAGCCAGAGGAAACUCUGGUGGAGGCUCGUAGCGGUUCUGACGUGCAAAUCGAUCGCAGGACUUGGG
rnacentral:rRNA from 1 species